GUGACCAUACCAUGUUAUAAAGAUCGGUUCUGAUCUGAUCGCCGAAGUUAAGCAAGGUCGGGUUCCGUUGGUACCUGCAUAGGUGAUCGGCUGACAAUACCGGGUGUUGCAGCCA
rnacentral:rRNA from 1 species